CAAUAGCGUAUAUUAAAGCUGUUGCGGUUAAAAAGCUCGUAGUUGGAUUUCUGUCAAGGACAACUGGUCCGCCCUCCGGGUGAGCACAUAGUUUGGUCUUGACAUCUUGCUGGAAGCUGUUGCUGCACUUGGCUGUGUGGCGCAGUGUUCAGCACUUUCACUUUGAGGAAAUUGGAGUGUUUCAAGCAGGCACAUGCCUUUGGACACAGUAGCAUGGAAUAAUUAGAUUGGGCUUUUGCUCCAAUUUGUCGGUUUCUGGAGCUGAGGUGAGUAUUAAUGGGGAUUGUUGGGGGCAUCCGAAUUUAGCCGUCAGAGGUGAAAUUCUUGGAUCUGCUAAAGACGGACGACUGCGAAAGCGUUUGCCCAGGAUGUUUUCAUUGA
rnacentral:rRNA from 1 species